AUACGGAGGGCGCAAGCGUUGUUCGGAAUCAUUGGGCGUAAAGCGCGCGUAGGCGGCUUGGAAAGUCGGGUGUGAAAUCCCGGGGCUCAACCCCGGAACUGCACUCGAAACUUCCUAGCUAGAGUCUCGGAGAGGUAGGCGGAAUUCCCGGUGUAGAGGUGAAAUUCGUAGAUAUCGGGAGGAACACCAGUGGCGAAGGCGGCCUACUGGACGAUGACUGACGCUGAGGUGCGAAAGCGUGGGGAGCAAACAGGAUUAGAAACCCCGGUAGUCC
rnacentral:rRNA from 1 species